CUUUAGAUUCGUGCCUCUCUGAAAUCCUCUUCCCUCCCCUCUCACUAAUACCGAUCCCUCUUUAGGGCCGGGUCACCGAACAACAGGUAUAUAUGUCUUUUGAUAUAUGGAGUACUAAAACCUUUAUGAACAACAGGCACAUCAACUGUUUGAUAAUUUGCCCCAACUAGAUGUUGAUGUUGGGGAUACACAAGGAGACAACCGUUCAUGUCUGCUUCAACUUUCUUUUGUUUGAUUGAGAUGUACAUCAAAGUAGUUUAUUAAUGUCUUGGAAAAGAAGCCUUGGCAAUGGGCAACGAUGGACGUAUGCCUCGCACAAAAUAGUGUUUCAUUAGAUGAGCAUGGCAACGAUGGAUGCAUAUGGAACUUGUGCUCAAAGUUCAAGAGAUAUCAAUAUUCAUAAACUUUAUCCAUCAAUUGGGUGGUGUGUAAUUUUGUAUGAUGUGGAUCUGCUAGACGUUACAGAAUUUAUGAACACAAACUUGUGAUUAGAGAAUACAAUUUGUAUCGUACUUACAUAAUUUGUAUAAUUUUGUAUUUCAUUUGAAUAAUGU